AGCUGAUGGGCACCAACCCACAGGCCUAUGGUAAGAUCUAUUUUGUGGCUUGACAGUGAGUCUAUUCGCAGAUGGCAGGGUUUGGCCACGGCCCAAGUGAGAACGAGCCUGAUGUGGCCUGCUGCUUCUUCUGUCUCAGAGAGCUGGAGUGCUGGGAGCCUGAGGACAACCCAUGGUGUCAUUAGGUCCGAGCAUAUCAAACGCUCUCCUAACUGUGGCUUCCUGGCCCUAAGGAAAGACGUUGGGGAGCUGUCUGUGGCUGAGUUCUAUCACCUGGAGCAGGAGAGACUGCACAUCUACAUUGCAAGUCACCAACCCUACCCUAUAUAUUUUUUUACAGUUUCCUAUAUAAGAAACUGUAUUGUCCCCAAAUGGGAAAAAUUGUCUUAGACACACCGUAAAGAAUAAACGUCAUAGACAUUGCAGCGUCACACACGUUGCACAAUGCCCAUGUCAUACACAUCAUAUACGCCUGCAUCUUCUCAUUCAAGGCAAAUACUUGAUAGACAUGAGUUGCACAAUGCCCCUGUGUUUUCCUGCUGUGUGUACACUCAUGCCUUGACUGAAAGUUGUGCUUUUACAUAUUUUCUUUAAGUUCACAAAGCUAUUUGAUACUUGCUGUAGGGUUGGAGCCAAUUUCAGUUAACUUAUGGAGGCCUAAGCUGUGUGUUACUGUGUAGUUUACCCGUGUCAAUCACAUGCCAUUUCUACUGUUGCAGAGGAAGACUUUGUAUCUGAAGAUUGCCAUUUAUGGAGAUGAGGCACCUAUAACGUAGUUGACAUUAAGGAGUGUGUUUUUUUUCUUCUUAUCUGUAAAUA